rnacentral:rRNA from 1 species
UGGGGGAUAUUGCACAAUGGGCGAAAGCCUGAUGCAGCGACGCCGCGUGAGGGAAGAAGGUUUUCGGAUUGUAAACCUCUGUCUUUGGGGACGAUAAUGACGGUACCCAAAGAGGAAGCCACGGCUAACUACGUGCCAGCAGCCGCGGUAAUACGUAGGUGGCAAGCGUUGUCCGGAAUUACUGGGUGUAAAGGGAGCGUAGGCGGGGAGACAAGUUAAAUGUGAAAUCUAUCGGCUCAACCGAUAGGCUGCGUUUAAAACUGUUUCUCUUGAGUGAAGUAGAGGUAGGCGGAAUUCCUAGUGUAGCGGUGAAAUGCGUAGAUAUUAGGAGGAACACCAGUGGCGAAGGCGGCCUACUGGGCUUUAACUGACGCUGAGGCUCGAAAGCGUGGGUAGCAAACA